GGAAACAAAUAUAAAUAUAAGAGGAGUAAACAACAUGGGACACCGGAUUAAACAGAGCAGUAAACGACAACUGCUCACUUGACAGUCUCUACUAGCUAGAGUCCCAUCCCAAGUGAGGAGUGACAUAAAGCUCCAUCAACGCGUCCCAUUCUUCCAUCCACAGACAAGGAGCGAGAGCGAGCCCAAAACGCACCGACCCGC
rnacentral:lncRNA from 1 species